rfam:Picea glauca, whole genome shotgun sequence.
GAGAGCCGUGUGAUGGGUUACUAUCCAGCACGGUUCGGAGAGCACUUGUAGCCUGCGCUGGUGAAUGGAAGCCCCCGGCUCUUCCCACGGAGUAACCAUCGACUCUAU